AAGUCGUAACAAGGUUUCCGUAGGUGAACCUGCGGAAGGAUCAUUAUCUAUUGGUGAAUGCGUAGCACCUUAAAAAUCGUAACCUAAUCGUGUGCACCUUCCUGCUGUGUGUGGUGGAAACCCGGAUGUCGAGAGUUCGCAAGGACAGGUAGCUUCUGGGUGACCAUCACCCAAUAAUCACCCUUUAACAUUUCUUGAUUAAGUACCGAGGGACUUGUCCCAAGGGAAGUUAUACAACUUUUAGCAACGGAUCUCUAGGCUCUC
rnacentral:misc_RNA from 1 species